UUCUUAUCGAGAGAGAUGGAGGGAAGUGGCCCUGUGAUAUCUCAGCAACCAGCCGGACUCCGGUCAGGUGCUAAAUCCACCAAGUGAUCAAAUUACUUGGAAGAUGAGAA
rnacentral:ncRNA from 2 species